AUGGCCUCCGCCCUCUCCGCCCCGGCGGCCUCCGCCGUCGUCGCCGCCCGGUGCAAGGUGUUCGGAGGAGGAAGGAGCGAUGGGAGGGCCGGAUGCCGCGUCGGGAUCCUCGCGAGGAAGAAUACUGGCCACAUAACGAUGGCACUUGCAGUAGACGCUUCUCGCUUUGAAGGAGUGCCGAUGGCCCCUCCAGACCCGAUUCUUGGGGUUUCGGAAGCAUUUAAAGCUGAUACAAGUGAUCUGAAGCUCAACCUUGGUGUUGGCGCCUACAGAACGGAAGAGCUACAGCCCGCUGUCCUCAAUGUUGUCAAGAAGGCUGAAAAACUUAUGUUGGAGAAAGGGGAAAACAAGGAGUAUCUGCCUAUUGAAGGUUUCGCUGCAUUUAACAAAGCAACUGCAGAUCUAUUGCUUGGAGCUGACAAUCCUGUCAUCAAGCAAGGACGGGUUGCUACUCUUCAGUCUCUCUCAGGGACUGGAUCAUUACGCCUUGCUGCAGCAUUUAUUCAGAGAUACUUCCCUGAUGCAAAAGUACUUAUAUCAUCUCCCACAUGGGGAAACCACAAAAACAUAUUCAAUGAUGCUAGAGUACCAUGGUCAGAAUACCGGUAUUAUGAUCCCAAGACUGUUGGGCUGGAUUUUGAGGGAAUGAUAGCUGACAUACAGGCUGCCCCAGAGGGGUCUUUUGUUCUGCUACAUGGUUGUGCUCACAAUCCAACUGGAAUAGACCCAACUCCUGAACAGUGGGAGAAACUGGCAGAUGUGAUUGAAGAGAAAAAACAUAUGCCUUUCUUUGAUGUUGCCUAUCAGGGUUUUGCCAGUGGAAGCCUUGAUGAAGAUGCAUCUUCUGUCAGGCUUUUUGUUAAGCGUGGCCUGGAAGUGUUCGUUGCACAGUCUUACAGCAAGAACCUUGGUCUAUAUGCAGAAAGGAUCGGUGCGAUAAAUGUCAUUUGCUCAGCACCGGAAGUUGCAGACAGGGUGAAGAGCCAGUUGAAGCGAUUGGCGCGGCCCAUGUACUCAAACCCACCUAUUCACGGUGCCAAGAUCGUCGCCAACGUCGUUGGAGACCCUACCAUGUUCGGUGAGUGGAAGGAAGAGAUGGAACAAAUGGCCGGUCGGAUCAAGAACGUUCGGCAGAAGCUUUACGAUAGCUUGACUGAAAAGGACCAGUCUGGCAAGGACUGGUCUUUCAUUCUGAGCCAGAUAGGCAUGUUCUCCUUCACGGGCUUGAACAGACCCCAGAGCGAUAACAUGACCGAUAAAUGGCACAUAUACAUGACCAAGGACGGCAGGAUUUCGUUGGCAGGGUUGAACCUGGCGAAGUGCGAGUACCUUGCUGAUGCCAUCAUCGACUCCUUCCACAAUGUCAACUAG
rnacentral:rRNA from 1 species